CGAAUCUGUUAUAAAAAUAAAAAUAAAAAUGAUCACCUACAUAAGUUUACAUAAAUAAUUAUACAUGGUAAGUAAAACAUAUACCAUCAAUAUUUUUUUGAAAGGUAUACAACGUCAAUCUUAUUAUUAUUACUAUUUUGCAUAUUUAUAGUGUAUGCUUUAUUUUAUAUUUUAUUUUUACAACUAAUAAUGCUUUGGCCUUCUCUCUGACCCAUUCCCUUUCCGUUUCUUCCCUUGUUUUAUUUCUCCUCGUUGGGCUUUUCUCUGACCCUUCUUUUCUAUCUUUUCCUGCUCCUUUGCUUCCUUUGCCAAAGGUUUUCUCACCUGGCUUACUAUUCUUUCCUUCAGCUUUGCUUCCCUUUCCUUCUGCUUUGCUUUCUUUUCUAUCUUUUCCUGCUCCUUUGCUUCCUUUGCCAAAGGUUUUCUCACCCGGCUUACUAUUCUUUCCUUCAGCUUUGCUUGCCUUUCCUUCUGCUUUGCUUUCUUUUCUAUCUUUUCCUGCUCCUUUGCUUCCUUUGCCAAAGGUUUUCUCACCUGGCUUACUAUUCUUUCCUUCAGCUUUGCUUCCCUUUCCUUCUACUUUGCUUUCUUUUCCAUCAUCCUUUCUUCCCUUGUUUUAUUUCCCGCACCAACGGGCUUAUUUUGAUCAAAAGAUUCUAUAUCUAUGGGUUUUCGCCCACCAUCAAGCUUAUCUACCAAAACAUUUUUCUUUGACUCUUUUGUAUAUUGUUUACCUUCUUUUAAUGUCUCUGUUGCCACAACAGAUAAAAGAAACAAUGCACAAAGGAAACACAAAUUAAAAGCUUUGAUUUUCAUCACUACAAUUUCUAAGAAUUUAAUUGUUGUGAAACAUAUGA
rnacentral:lncRNA from 1 species